rnacentral:rRNA from 1 species
GACGAACGCUGGCGGCGUGCUUAACACAUGCAAGUCGAACGGAAAGGCCCUGCUUUUGUGGGGUGCUCGAGUGGCGAAAGGGUGAGUCACACGCGAGUAACCUGCCCUUGACUUUGGGAUAACUUCUGGAAACUGAGGCUCAUACCGGAUAGGAGCUCCUGCUGCAUGGUGGGGGUUGGAAAGUUUCGGCGGUUGGGGAUGGACUCGCGGCUUAUCAGCUUGUUGGUGGGGUAGUGGCUUACCAAGGCUUUGACGGGUAGCCGGCCUGAGAGGGUGACCGGCCACAUUGGGACUGAGAUACGGCCCAGACUCCUACGGGAGGCAGAAGUGGGGAAUAGUGCACAAUGGGCGGAAGCCUGAUGCAGCAACGCCGCGUGCGGGAUGACGGCCUUCGGGUUGUAAACCGCUUUCGCCUGUGACGAAGCGUGAGUGACGGUAAUGGGAAAAGAAGCACCGGCUAACUACGUG